UGUGAACUCGAAGAGUAGGGCGGGACACGUGGUAUCCUGUCUGAAUAUGGGGGGACCAUCCUCCAAGGCUAAAUACUCCUGACUGACCGAUAGUGAACCAGUACCGUGAGGGAAAGGCGAAAAGAACCCCGGCGAGGGGAGUGAAAAAGAACCUGAAACCGUGUACGUACAAGCAGUGGGAGCACCUUCGGGUGUGACUGCGUACCUUUUGUAUAAUGGGUC
rnacentral:rRNA from 1 species